UGGGGAAUAUUGCACAAUGGGGGAAACCCUGAUGCGGCGACGCCGCGUGAGUGAAGAAGUAUUUCGGUAUGUAAAGCUCUAUCAGCAGGGAAGAAAAUGACGGUACCUGACUAAGAAGCCCCGGCUAACUACGUGCCAGCAGCCGCGGUAAUACGUAGGGGGCAAGCGUUAUCCGGAUUUACUGGGUGUAAAGGGAGCGUAGACGGCUGGAUCAGUCUGAUGUGAAAGCCCGGGGCUCAACCCCGGGACUGCAUUGGAAACUGUCCAGCUAGAGUGCAGGAGAGGUAAGUGGAAUUCCUAAGUGUAGCGGUGAAA
rnacentral:rRNA from 1 species